UCUAUUUUAACGGUGUUGGUUGCGGCCCCCGGCGGACGUGUCCCCGGGCGGUAGAGGUAACACUCUCACGCGGCCACAUGCCUUAAUCCUUUUUUACGAGCACCUUUCGUUCUCCUUCGGUGGGGCAACCUGCCGUUGGAACCUAUCAAAACCUUUUUUGCAUUUAGCAUUACCUGUUCUGAUACAAACAAUCGUUA
rnacentral:misc_RNA from 1 species